GAUGUUAUGAUGUUGAGGCGACAAUUAGGCGAAGGAUAAAACGAAUCGGCUCGCUUGACCAAUUGUCGUCUAAUUCUCACGAGAAAUAUAACAUAAUUCCAAAUCUCUGUAAUCAACUGUUUCUUCGACUAAAAUUUGAAUUUGACGCAACAGGAAUGUGCGAUUGCGUGUCGUUUGGAAUUUAGAUCAAACUCGGCACCCAAUUACGUUCGGAAUUUGAUUAUAGGAAGGACUACAGUUCUUCGAUACAGAGUUCCACUCAAACCCUAAUUAUGAGUUUCAGAAUUCACGGCCUCUGAACGCUAUCAUAAGAAUAAGAAUUGGAAAAUAUGAGCGGGAACGAGUUCAGAUUCUUCUUGUCCUGCGACAUCAAUCUCCCAGUGACCUUUCGCAUCGAGAGGUUGGAGGGCAAUUUGCCACCUAACAAGUCCCCCAAUUCAGAAAUCGAUUCCACAACAGAGGAGAGAAAAGCAGAGCUAUAUGUUGAGUGUGCAUUGUACAUCGAUGGCACUCCAUUUGGCCUUCCCACGAGAACAAGGUUGGAAUCUACCGGACCACCAUAUUGUUGGAAUGAACUCAUAACAUUGAGUACUAAAUAUCGAGACUUAACUGUUCACUCACAACUUGCUUUGACGGUUUGGGAUGUUUCAUGUGGGAAAGACGAGGGAUUGAUUGGUGGAGCAACAAUUCUUCUCUUUAAUGGCAAAAAGCAACUCAAAACAGGGAAGCAAAAGCUUAGGCUUUGGCCAGGAAAAGAAGCAGAUGGGUCAUUUCCUACGACUACUCCUGGAAAGGUGCCGCAGCAUGAGCGUGGGGAGUUGGAGCGCUUGGAAAAGCUUGUGAACAAGUAUGAGAGGGGACAGAUUCAACGUGUCGAUUGGCUGGACCGCCUCACAUUUAAAGCUAUGGACAGAAUUAAGGAACGUGAAAGCUCUAAAAAUGGAAGUUCUCAUCUGUAUGUGGUUGUUGAUUUCUGUAGCUUUGAACAUCAAGUUGUUUUCCAGGAAUCAGGAUCAAACUUCUUAUUACCGUCUCCUAUAACUUCAACAAAUGAAUUUGUUACCGUCUGGGACCCAGAAGUUGGAAAGAUAAAUCCCUCUGAGCACAAGCAAUUAAAGCUUGCAAGGAGUUUAACCCGUGGUAUUAUUGACAGGGAUCUUAAACCAAGCUCUAAUGAGAGAAAGUCAAUACAAAGAAUAUUAAAAUACCCACCGACAAGGACUUUGAGUGGAGAUGAGAGGCAACUACUAUGGAAAUUCCGUUUCUCAUUGAUGGCUGAGAAAAGGGCUCUCACAAAGUUUCUCCGAUGUGUUGAAUGGAGUGAUGUUCAGGAAGCAAAACAGGCAUUAGAGUUAAUGGGUAAGUGGGAAAUGAUUGAUGUCUGCGAUGCGCUGGAGCUUCUGUCUCCUGUUUUUGAAAGUGAAGAGGUGCGUGCAUAUGCUGUUAGUGUUCUUGAAAGAGCUGAUGAUGAAGAGCUCCUGUGUUAUUUACUUCAACUGGUUCAGGCUCUUCGGUUUGAGCGCUCUGAUAAAUCUCGCCUUUCUCAUUUCCUUGUGCAACGUGCGUUGCGCAAUAUUGAGUUCGCUAGCUUUCUUCGCUGGUAUGUUGCUGUUGAACUUUAUGAUCCAGCGUACGCCAAACGUUUCUAUUGUACCUACGAGAUUCUGGAAGAGAAUAUGAUGAAGUUGGCAGGAGGUGUAAGUGGAGAUGAAGAUGGAUUUAAAUUGUGGCAAAGUUUGGUGCGUCAAACAGAAUUAACUGCCCAAUUGUGUUCAAUUAUGAGAGAUGUAAAAAAUGUACGUGGUAAUACUCAGAAGAAGAUUGAAAAGCUUAGACAGCUGCUUUCUGGUCUUCUUAGUGAACUUACCUAUUUUGAAGAGCCAAUACGAUCACCACUGGCUCCAAAUGUCCUCAUCACUGGGCUCGUGCCAUCUGAGUCAUCAAUAUUUAGAAGUGCAUUGCAUCCCUUGCGCUUAACUUUCCGAACAGCAAAUGGCGGAAGUUCCAAAAUCAUAUUUAAAAAGGGAGAUGAUAUUCGGCAAGACCAAUUGGUUGUUCAAAUGGUAUCACUCAUGGAUCGAUUGCUUAAAUUGGAAAAUCUUGAUCUGCACCUUACUCCAUAUAAGGUUCUAGCAACUGGGCAAGAUGAAGGCAUGUUGGAAUUCAUACCAUCCCGUUCUUUAGCACAGAUUAUCUUAGAGCAGCGUAGCAUUAUUAGCUAUCUCCAGAAGUUUCAUCCGGAUGAGCAUGGUCCAUUUGGCAUUACAGCCACCUGCCUUGAAACAUUUAUAAAAAGCUGUGCUGGCUACUCUGUUAUCACUUAUAUACUGGGUAUUGGAGACAGGCACCUAGACAACCUUCUCCUCACAGAAGAUGGGCGUCUUUUCCAUGUUGAUUUUGGUUUCAUUCUCGGUCGAGACCCAAAGCCGUUUCCACCGCCAAUGAAGCUCUGCAAAGAAAUGGUCGUGGCUAUGGGUGGACAAGAAAGUCAAUAUUAUACAAGGUUCAAAUCCUAUUGUUGCGAGGCAUACAACAUCCUCCGUAAAUCAAGUAACCUUAUUUUAAAUCUGUUUCAUCUAAUGGCGGGUUCCAACAUUCCUGACAUAGCUUCUGAUCCUGAAAAAGGCAUUCUAAAGCUUCAGGAGAAGUUCCGUUUAGACUUGGAUGAUGAAGCUUCAAUACAUUUUUUCCAGGAUCUUAUCAAUGAGAGUGUUAGUGCACUGUUUCCUCAAAUGGUUGAGACUAUUCAUAGGUGGGCUCAGUACUGGCGCUGAUCCCAGAGAGAAAUUUUGUUUCAUAAACACCUUUGUAAAUAGCCAGGGUGCAGCCGAUACUCUGUUUAGAUCCUGAAAAGACAAACAUAGAGGAUAGAAAAUAUGACAGCAAUCAUCUUCAACAACUCUAUGGAGCAUUAUGAUCGGCAGCCAUGAACUACCUGUCAUCCCAAAGGGCGAGAGCAGGAAAAAAAAAAAAAAAAUUAUAGAACUUUAUUGAAAUGUAUAGAAACUUCGUAGUGUCAUAUGUAAAUUUCUUUUCAGAUUUGGUUGAAUCAAUUUUUUAUAUUAGGACUCUUUCCUUUUUUGGUUAUUGCCGCUAUAUCUAGAUUCCAGGGAUUUCGAGAUGGCAUUUUAGCUUUCCUGGCCAAAAUUCUAAA